GGAUUAGAUACCCUGGUAGUCCACGCCCUAAACGAUGCGAACUGGACGUUGGGUGCAAUUGAGCAUUCAGUGUCGAAGCUAACGCGUUAAGUUCGCCGCCUGGGGAGUACGGUCGCAAGACUGAAACUCAAAGGAAUUGACGGGGGCCCGCACAAGCGGUGGAGUAUGUGGUUUAAUUCGAUGCAACGCGAAGAACCUUACCUGGCCUUGACAUGUCGAGAAGUCUGCAGAGAUGCGGAUGUGCCUUCGGGAACUCGAACACAGGUGCUGCAUGGCUGUCGUCAGCUCGUGCCG
rnacentral:rRNA from 1 species